rnacentral:misc_RNA from 1 species
GAUGAAGAACGCAGCGAAAUGCGAUAAGUAAUGUGAGUUGCAGAAUUCAGUGAAUCAUCGAAUCUUUGAACGCACAUUGCGCCCGCCAGUAUUCUGGCGGGCAUGCCUGUCUGAGCGUCAUUUCAACCCUCAAGCAACUUCUGCUUGGUGUUGGGGAUCGGCCGUCAAACGCCGCCCCCGAAAUCUAUUGGCGAUCUCGCUGUAGCUUCCUAUGCGUAGUAGUAACAUCUCGCAUCUGGAGAGCGGCGCGGUCAUGCCGUAAAACACCCAACUUCUCAGGUUGACCUCAGAUCAGGUAGGAAUACCCGCUGAACUUAAGCAUAUCAAUAAGCGGAGGA